rnacentral:rRNA from 1 species
UACGUAGGAGGCAAGCGUUGUCCGGAUUUACUGGGCGUAAAGCGCGCGCAGGCGGCAGUGCAAGUAAGGUGUGAAAUCUCCCUGCUCAACGGGGAGGGUGCAUUUUAGACUGCACAGCUAGAGGUCGGUAGAGGGGGGUGGAAUUGCUGGUGUAGCGGUGAAAUGCGUAGAGAUCAGCAGGAACACCCGUGGCGAAGGCGGCCCCCUGGGCCGUACCUGACGCUGAGGAGCGAAAGCGUGGGGAGCGAACAGG